UACGUAGGGGGCGAGCGUUGUCCGGAUUUAUUGGGCGUAAAGAGCGUGUAGGCGGCCAGGUAGGUCUGCUGUGAAAACUCGAGGCUCAACCUCGAGACGUCGGCGGAAACCAUCUGGCUAGAGUCCGGAAGAGGAGAGUGGAAUUCCUGGUGUAGCGGUGGAAUGCGCAGAUAUCAGGAGGAACACCGGUGGCGAAGGCGGUUCUCUGGGCCGAUACUGACGCUGAGGAGCGAAAGCGUGGGGAGCGAACAGG
rnacentral:rRNA from 1 species